rnacentral:rRNA from 1 species
AAUGCUUGGGAAUAUGCCUUUAGGUGGGGGACAACAGUUGGAAACGACUGCUAAUACCGCAUAACGUGCUUUUUGUGGUGAAAAAGUACCAAAGGGGGGGGCUCUUCGGACCUCUUGCCUAAAGAUUAGCCCAAGUGAGAUUAGCUAGUUGGUGAGGUAAUGGCUCACCAAGGCGACGAUCUCUAGCUGGUUUGAGAGGAUGAUCAGCCACACUGGGACUGAGACACGGCCCAG